rnacentral:rRNA from 1 species
UACCAGCUCUCCGAGUGGUGGGGACGAUUAUUGGGCUUAAAGCGUUCGUAGCCGGCUUAACAAGUCUUCCGUUAAAUCCAACGAUCUAAUCGUUGGUCUGCGGGAGAUACUGUUGGGCUAGGAGGCGGGAGAAGCCGACGGUAUUCUCGGGGUAGGGGUGAAAUCCUGUAAUCCCGGGAGGACCACCAGUGGCGAAGGCGGUCGGCUAGAACGCGCUCGACGGUGAGGGUCGAAAGCUGGGGGAGCGAACCGGAUUAGAAACCCGGAUAGUCCCAGCUGUAAACGAUGCGGGCUAGGUGUUGGGGUGGCCACGAGCCACUUCAGUGCCGCAUGGAAGCAAUUAAGCUCGCCGCCUGGGGAGUACGGCCGCAAGGCUGAAACUUAAAGGAAUUGGCGGGGGAGCACCACAAGGCGUGAAGCUUGCGGAUC